rfam:Vibrio variabilis DNA, contig: contig00006, strain: JCM 19239.
CGUAGCGGCUGAAUCAGAGAUUGGCUGCUACAAAUUUUAAACUUACUCUUAUUAGGAGAGAAUUAUGUCUCUGAAUGCAGAAACUAAAGCAGCAAUCGUUGCAGAAUACGCACAAGGCGAA